GCUGAAGCUCCUGCUUGGACGACUCGCACAGCUGCGACACCUCAUCCUCGCGCUUCUUCUGCAGACGCUCGAUCUCACGCUCCAGCUGAAGGAUCUCCUCCAUCUGACGCACUUCGUCCUGGAAUGGAGAUUCCAGGAUGCCUUUGACGUCAUACAAGACCUGAAGACGCCCGAAACGCAAGACAUCACGUUGGAUGUAUAGCGCAAAGGAGAAAUGAUGAGCGCUACUCACCUCCCCGGCGUAAUGUUUGAUACCGAACUGAUGGUCGGCCAAUCUGGGCUUCACGUAGUAAGGGUUGGUCUGCCGCAAAAUGCCAACCUUCUCCAGAAGAGUGAAGUCCGUGCCUUUGGGGAAGCGACUCUCUUCGUUCACCAGAGCCAACAAGCCCAGUUUCUGAAGAGCCAAGCAAAAUCGUCGGCCCAUUAGAUGAGAGAAAUUCUCUCAAAGAAGAGCAACGAGAAAACCAAGUGCUGCAUCCAAGUGGAGACUGCGGAUUACGUGCAAUACCUUCUCGAUGAGAUCAAGACACUCGGCGUUGUCCAUCCAGUCGAUGGCGUCCCACUGGACACCUUCCCUGUGAAGGCGACAAUCAGAUAUUAGGAUGAUCCAGGAGAAACAUUGGGAAUACAGCGCCAUGGCAACCGAGUCCCGAGAAUCUACAGCCUGUGACGACGCCACGGAAGGUCGGUUAGCAUUGUGGGAAUAAAAAAACAAUUGGCGAGUGUUUAACGACCUGUUCGAUGGUGAGCGGCGAGCAUAUCUCUUCUCCUCGCAGGAUGAUGGAGCGCUGAGUCAGCACUUCGGACAGCUGGAAGGCGUCGAGGCCGAGGAGCUCGCUCGCGUUGGUCACCACUGGAAAAAGCAUAAACACGCUUUAUCCCAAAUAUUUUUUUCUUCUUUUGAGCUUGGCACCGACCUUGCUUGGUGGUGAUCUGAGCUCCUCCCGCCGUCAUGAAGUCCACGUUGCCGAGCUGCAGGACGCCCGAGAGGAGCUUGAACAUGUCCCUGAUCUCCUCCUCGGAGAACUCCAGCACCUUCAGGGCCUCCUGCUCGCAACAAUAUUGAAGAGGAUACAAUCGAUGACGCAGCCUCCCUGGAUGUUGCCGCACUCCGAGAAGUGAAGCUGGAUGAACUUCCCGAAGCGGCUGGAGUUAUUAUUGUAAACGGUCUUGGCGUUCCCGAACGCUUCCAUGAUAGGACUGUGAAGAAAAUGAAGUGGCGUCGCAGCCGACUUUUGGCUCAUCACCGACAGGAACUGGAGCAACAGCUUAGUGCUUUCCGUCUUCCCUGCUCCCGACUCGCCACUGACACACACACAAAUCGCGUUGGUGCAGGUUAUGCAUAAUGGCCGCCUCGUGCAACUCAGCCAGCGCCGACAUGUCUUCCACGCCGUCCACGCUGGAUUGGUGCAUGGGAUACACACGCUCCCUGGUGACCUCGGCCUGCUGCAGGUCAGAGAAAUCAGAGAACCAAGCCCAAUCAGCGACCCGUAUUGGAUUCCGGCACAUGACCUGAUGACCACAUGACCUCACUCUCUCAGUGGCUCUCCGUCCCAUUGACGACAGUCUCUUGCUCUGUCACACACACACCAUGGCAACAGGACUCGACGGCAACAGGGCGCCAUGGUAACAGCCUCCUUCUGUUGCCGCAGAUGGAUGCUGGGAGAUGGAGUUCCAGUUUUGCUGAGUGUUGGACUAAAAAAAAACACCAAAAGCUUAAAAACGUUUUAAAAUAGAAAAAAAAUAUUCAAUGCACCAAUUGAAUGUGAUUUGGCCAUAUGCCAUGUUCAACCCUUCUAGGGGGAAGGAAGCAUUUUGGGAGAUGCUAUUUUAUUUGCAAUGACCUUACAGUAGCAUAGACUUGAUGCCUUUCGACAGCAAUAGUGGUGUCCCACCUACACGCCGGUGCAUGAAAGUAGGCUACAGCAAAGGACUCAUGGCACUGAGCUGUAGCUUAAGGGAGGAAGGAGACGAGCCGAGGAGGGAAAAAAAAGUCAAAUGAUGCAGCUUUCUGAGCAGAACAAAUGUGUUGGGAGCUUCAGAAUAUAGGUCACACAUCUCCAGCGACUCUUCCCUCCCCUCUUUGCCUGCGCUACUUCAAAUCCUGCAUAAUUUCAAGCACAAUCGAGACGGGCAAAAGCCACGUUGAAAUAUGUAUCACACGCACGUUCUGUUCUGUUCGACGUGCAAACAAGAUGCUUUUAUAGUGUGGCUGGUUCUCUAUUCUAGCUUCCUGCACACGAUUUAACCAACUGAUGAAUAUUUUAAUGCGGUUAUGAAGUUCUUUGCAUAAAACACCAGCCUCAUCGUGUUAAAGCUUUG